rnacentral:tRNA from 3 species
GCGGCUGUGGCGGAAUUGGUAGACGCGCACGCUUGAGGGGCGUGUGGGCAACCGUGCUGGUUCGAGUCCAGUCAGCCGCACCA